GACGAACGCUGGCGGCGUGCUUAACACAUGCAAGUCGAACGCUGAAGCUCAGCUUUUGUUGGGUGGAUGAGUGGCGAACGGGUGAGUAACACGUGAGUAACCUGCCUCCUUCUUUGGGAUAACGCCCGGAAACGGGUGCUCAUACUGGAUAUUCACUGGUCUUCGCAUGGGGGUUGGUGGAAAGGGUUUUUCUGGUGGGGGAUGGGCUCGCGGCCUAUCAGCUUGUUGGUGGGGUGAUGGCCUACCAAGGCUUUGACGGGUAGCCGGCCUGAGAGGGUGACCGGUAACAUUGGGACUGAGAUACGGCCCAGAGUCCUACGGGAAGGAGCAGUGGGGAAUAUUGCACAAUGGGCGCAAGCCUGAUGCAGCGACGCCGCGUGAGGGAUGGAGGCCUUCGGGUUGUGAACCUCUUUAGCUCAUGGUCAAGCCGCAACAAUGGUUGUGGUGAGGGUAGUGAGUAAAGAAGCGCCGGCUAACUACGUG
rnacentral:rRNA from 1 species